CUUCUUCUUCCCCACUCUCUUACUUCAAACAUGUCAAUUCUCUCUCAUUCUCACUCUCCUUCUUUAAUUGUCAAAGCCAAUCACUGGUUUCUUAAGAAGAAGAAGAAAAACAUGUGCACUGGUAAAAACCCAAUUUCUUAAAUUUUCAAAUGAAUAAUUACUUUCUGUAUUUUAAAAAACCACCUUUUUCCAGUAAUUAUAAAUAAUCCAAACAGUUGGUGUGUUUGGUUGCGAAAACAGGGGAUUGACAGUUAAACCGGAAUACAAAUAGUUUUAUAUAUGUUAAACCUGUUUGAAUAGAUUUAGGGCACAUACCAAUUGUUCGAUUUCAUAUAUACAUUCAAGAAAUUGUUCGACUUCUUAUAUACAUGUUAAAAAGUAAUUUCCUUAUUAUCUAACCUAUUUGAAAGUCAUGUUUAACUAUAGUGAACAAGUUCUAGGUUAAAGAAGUGUCAAUAUUACACCACCCCACUUCCAUUGCAGUCCUGACUACGGUUGGGGUUGGUAUAAUAUCAAUAUCCCCAAAAUUGAAAAAGAAAAAAAAGAACAAUGUUAGCACCAUACAAUAAGUUAAGCAAACCACUUUAGGAAUCCAAUUUAUCUUUUUUCUUAUUGAGAACAAGGUUUCAAAUACUUUGCUUGAUUCAAAAAAACUAACGACUCCACAUCAUUUCCCAGUUAUAAAUACAACAACAGUACCCUCCUGGGGUUGUGAUGAAUCCAAGUAUUCAUUUCUCCUUCUCGUGCUUGUGACUAGCUG
rnacentral:lncRNA from 1 species